AUUGAACGCUGGCGGCAGGCUUAACACAUGCAAGUCGAACGGUAACAGGCCGCAAGGUGCUGACGAGUGGCGAACGGGUGAGUAAUGCAUCGGAACGUGCCCAGUCGUGGGGGAUAACGCAGCGAAAGCUGUGCUAAUACCGCAUACGAUCUAUGGAUGAAAGCGGGGGACCGUAAGGCCUCGCGCGAUUGGAGCGGCCGAUGUCAGAUUAGCUAGUUGGUGGGGUAAAGGCCCACCAAGGCGACGAUCUGUAGCUGGUCUGAGAGGACGACCAGCCACACUGGGACGGAGAAACGGCCCAGACUCCUACGGGAGUCAGAAGUGGGGAAUUUUGGACAAUGGGCGCAAGCCUGAUCCAGCAAUGCCGCGUGCAGGAAGAAGGCCUUCGGGUUGUAAACUGCUUUUGUACGGAACGAAACGGCCUGGGUUAAUACCCUGGGCUAAUGACGGUACCGUAAGAAUAAGCACCGGCUAACUACGUGCCAGCCGCCGCCGUAA
rnacentral:rRNA from 1 species